GACGAACGCUGGCGGCGUGCUUAACACAUGCAAGUCGAACGGAAAGGCCCUGCUUUUGUGGGGUGCUCGAGUGGCGAACGGGUGAGUAACACGUGAGUAACCUGCCCUUGACUUUGGGAUAACUUCAGGAAACUGGGGCUAAUACCGGAUAGGAGCUCCUGCUGCAUGGUGGGGGUUGGAAAGUUUCGGCGGUUGGGGAUGGACUCGCGGCUUAUCAGCUUGUUGGUGGGGUAGUGGCUUACCAAGGCUUUGACGGGUAGCCGGCCUGAGAGGGUGACCGGGCACAUUGGGACUGAGAUACGGCCCAGACUCCUACGGGAGGCAGCAGUGGGGAAUAUUGCACAAUGGGCGGAAGCCUGAUGCAGCAACGCCGCGUGCGGGAUGACGGGUUUCGGGUUGUAAACCGCUUUCGACUGUGACAAAGCGUGAGUGACGGUAAUGGGUAAAGAAGCACCGGCUAACUACGUG
rnacentral:rRNA from 1 species